ensembl:lincRNA
UGGCCGUUCUCCGGUUAUUAAAAAUUCCACCCGGUGAAGUUUUAAAGCGAUAUGCGUCUAUUACUCGAAUCAACAUUCAAAUUCUCUUCAGUAGCAGAUGUAUACAGGUCUCUAAACCAAGCUCUGGACUAUUACAAUGUGGUCGGUCAACUAUAAUUACAGAGAGUCGACAAGCCGACGUCGCCAUGGCAGCUUCCAGAGCCGCAUCGGCCAUUGCAGUAAAUCGUGUCAGUGGCGACGCGCGCACGGUGAGGUAAUUUUGAGGACGUCGUGUUUAUCACUCGGCGGUUGCCGGAUUACGUCUGUUUACGGCCGGAUUACCCAGUGCUCGCCUUAAAACCACGGCAUUACCUCACGGAGGAACAAACACACGCAGCCAAGCAGGUGUCAACGUAAGAAGAAGAAGUUUCUUGCACAUGCGCAGUAGUAUAUAUAAGCAGGUAUACCGGUCACAUGACAAUCACAGCGCUUCUCAUUGGCUGUGGUUUCAUUAAUUAUUGAGAGCACACACAUAUUGUAGAUGCCAACUCUGGAUCCUGGGCCCAAAAUGGCGGCAGCUCGAUGACGGUGACGGACAAAAGCUAAAUUAGGUCGGUCACGGCAGGUAGUUUGUAAUCGUCGCAGAAGAAAUCACGUCGGGGUCACGAGUUUGGAAAGGACAGUUGUAGUCCGAGUGUAUAAUAAACGUUAACGGUUAUAAACACUCCAAAUAAGUAAACAAGAAAAACAACCACGAGAGCGUCCUUCACGUCAGACCUCGUACAAAACCUCUCGUCCCCACUCCAAGCUCCUCUCCCCCCCCCGUCUUGGUCCCGCCUUUUCGUGAGAGCACCAGCACCAGGUACGUUUGCUGAGCGAACGGUUGAUAUCCGGUUUCUGAAUGGAAAGGCGGUUACAGCGUCGAUUUGCUGAGGACCGUGGGACAUUGCAUGGAUGCCAUCGGUGCAGACAUCUUGAGUCUGCGUCUCAUAAGUGGCAGCUACACCAUUCUCUACGAGACAGAAUCAUUGAUUAUGAAUGACAGCGACAAUGAAUGUGACAUUUGUAUCACUGCUGACGAAUCAGAAGACGACGAGCAAGAGGCCCAGUGUUCAUGGACAGCGAGAGAGAAUGGUGAUGCAGAAGGCCAAACACUUGUGGAGGCAAAGCUUAGUCAGUGGUACACGAGUGGAGACAAGGACCCUCUGCUCAUUGAAUCACUCACAGAGAUUUGUGGAUAUCAAUUUGACACCUUUCUGCUCCAGGAGGAAGAGACUCACACGGCCAAUGAGAAAAAGAUCAUGCCGUUGGUUUCCCAGACGGCGGAGUGUGUUUUGGCCAGCGACGAUGCAUCGUUGAAAGGUGGGAGUGAUGGUGAGGACGACUCGUGGCAUGUCUUGUGUGAGAUUGCCUGCAUAUUCCACAUGACCCCCGGAGAUGUAGUCGAUCUCAUCCGUGAUGAGGAAAACUUUGCUGACCUUUGUAUGACCUUAAAUUGUUAAACUACGAUUGUCAAUUAUUUUCUUCCUUUUUUGAAAACUGGCUUUUCAUGCAUGUUUUGAAAAAAACAAAUUUUCUUUCUCAAUGAAAGAUGUUUACAAUAUAAAGAUAUCCUAUCGUUUGUGUCAAAUCGUGUUUUUGUAAUUUUUUCGUCCAGGUCCAAGUUGUUUUAAAGUUGGUGUUCUUAAUAUUAGAACGGCUUUUGUAGUUUUCAUAAAUAAUAUCUUUUCGUGUAACCAUCGGCCCAUUUUCAUUCCACAACCAGAGGAAGACUUUCAUCAACCCAUGUUGGAGGUAUCGGAAUACUCGCCACCCUUGCCAAGCAUAAAGUGGUGAGACAGCUAAGGUCGGAAUUUGGAAUACAUUCAGUGUACUGACAAAUUGUCAUGAAAGACACUGUGGUAUCUUUAACAUCCAUCCACAACCUGUGAUGUCACAUGGCUUCUGCUCAACUUCCUUUCAAAGGACGGAUCAUACUGCAUGCGAAACACCAGGAUGACAGAACUUUACAGCUGGAUCAGGAUUCAAACCCAGGCUAAACAGCUGAUAGGGGAGCAUACAUACAGAUAGUGGACAAAAAAAAAUGGAAACACCAGCGAACAUGGGCCAUGCAACACAUAUGCAAAGUAUGGGGCCGCCCCAAGCAAGAGACUGGUGCGUGAAAUAUGAAAAUCUCUUCCCAUCAAUCCUCGAGUCGUGUAGUAUACAUAAGCGAGCUGCAACUUGAGGCCGGUAUUAAGAGCCAGCAUGGCCGCAAGACGAGAACUCAAUAAUUUUGAACGGAGUGUAAUUGUUGGUGCGUGUUUGGCAGGCGCGUCAGUGACAAAGGCUGUAGUAAUUGCUAACAUGUCACGAGGAAGUGUCUCAAAAAUGUCAGCCUGGGAAAAAAAAGAAGGAAAGAUGUCAUCAUCGAAGGGCACCUGUGGGCGGAAGCUCAUCCUCAACAAGUGUGACGCACAGACAUUAGUCCAGACUGCGAGAUUAAACAGGAGAGCAAUGGUGGAGAAACUGUAUACGGAAUUCAAUGUGGGUCAUGAGUAUCUUGUAUCAUCAAAAAGAGUCACACGGAAAUUUCACAGGGUGGCAUACCACAACCAGGUUGCUCUGCACAAACUGUUCAUAACACCUAGCAAUGCUCGUUUGCGGGUCCACUGGUGUAAGGAGCAUAGGUAAUAGACUGCCGAGCAGUGGAGGAAUGCGACAUGGUCUGACGAGUCAUCCUUCACCACGUUCUCAAUGAAUGAAUGUGUGCACGUGUAACAACAGUCCAGGGAGCUCUCAACCGCAAGUGCCUCGUUCCAACAGGAAACAGUUCUGGCAGUUCCAUGAUGGUGUAGGUGCAUUUUCCUGCCAUGGCCUACAUCCACUCAUUCCAUCAGAAGGCAGGGUUGAAUCAUCAUCGCGUUGUAUUACCGUCCUGAAUGAUCAUCUGCAUCCUUGCUGGGAGGGGUCUUUCUGGACAAUUCUCCAGUCCACGUGUUA